rnacentral:tRNA from 1 species
GAGGGUGGAGCUCAGUGGCAGAGCACAUGCUCAGUAUGCACAAGGUCCUGGGUUCAAUCCCCAGUGCCUCCA